AGAGUUUGAUCCUGGCUCAGGACGAACGCUGGCGGCGUGCUUAACACAUGCAAGUCGAACGGAAAGGCCUGCCACUGUGGUGGUGGGUACUCGAGUGGCGAACGGGUGAGUAACACGUGGGUGAUCUGCCCCGCACUGUGGGAUAAGCCUGGGAAACUGGGUCUAAUACCACAUACGACCAUGGCGUAGGGGUCAUGGUGGAAAGCUUUUGCGGUGUGGGAUGAGCCCGCGGCCUAUCAGCUUGUUGGUGGGGUAAUGGCCUACCAAGGCGGCGACGGGUAGCCGGCCUGAGAGGGUGGACGGCCACAUUGGGACUGAGACACGGCCCAGACUCCUACGGGAGGCAGCAGUGGGGAAUAUUGCACAAUGGGCGCAAGCCUGAUGCAGCGACGCCGCGUGGGGGAUGACGGCCUUCGGGUUGUAAACUCCUUUCGCCCGGGACGAAGCCCACCUGGUGGGUGACGGUACCGUGGAGAAGAAGCACCGGCUAACUACGUGCCAGCAGCCGCGGUAAUACGUAGGGUGCAAGCGUUGUCCGGAUUUACUGGGCGUAAAGAGCUCGUAGGUGGUGUGUCGCGUCGUCUGUGAAAUUCCGGGGCUUAACUCCGGGCGUGCAGGCGAUACGGGCACGACUAGAGUGCUGUAGGGGUAACUGGAAUUCCUGGUGUAGCGGUGAAAUGCGCAGAUAUCAGGAGGAACACCGAUGGCGAAGGCAGGUUACUGGGCAGUUACUGACGCUGAGGAGCGAAAGCAUGGGGAGCGAACAGGAUUAGAUACCCUGGUAGUCCACGCUGUAAACGUUGGGCACUAGGUGUGGGGGGCCUUUUCCGGGUUUUCCGCGCCGUAGCUAACGCAUUAAGUGCCCCGCCUGGGGAGUACGGCCGCAAGGCUAAAACUCAAAGGAAUUGACGGGGGCCC
rnacentral:rRNA from 1 species